GACGUAGGGCGCGAGCGUUGUCCGGAUUUAUUGGGCGUAAAGGGCGCGUAGGCGGCCACCGCAAGUCGACUGUGAAAUCUCCGGGCUUAACUCGGAAAGGUCAGCCGAUACUGCGGGGCUAGAGUGCAGAAGGGGCAACUGGAAUUCUACGGUGUAGCGGUGAAAUGCGUAGAUAUCGAGAGGAACACCUGCGGCGAAGGCGGGUUGCUGGGCUGACA
rnacentral:rRNA from 1 species